rnacentral:tRNA from 1 species
GGGCCCGUGGCCUAGCCAGGAAUGGCGUCGGGCUCCAGACCCGAAGGCCGUGGGCUCGAAUCCCACCGGGCCCACCA